GGCGCCCCCGGGGAGCCGGUGCCGGGCGGGGGGCGCUGGGGGAGGCCGGGGCAGCCGCGGUCCCCUCACGGCUCCCGGCGCGGCGCGGGCGGAGCUGCGGCUGCCGCCGAGGGAAAGCGGCGUCUCCUCCGUGAUUCGCACCCCUCGCCCUGCGCUGGGAAGGCAGAGCCUCCAGUAUUUGGGGUUUUUUUUGUUGUUGUUGUUCUUAAAGUUCGAUUCUAAAUGUGUCGCCCAUCGUUGGGUUUGGAUGAGUUCAUUCCUCGUGGGUGGUGGCGGGCGUGUGGCCGCUGUCCCGGGAGCUGCCGGUUCUUGCCGUGUGGGAACACCGGGUUUCGCUUCUCGUGCCUCCAGUGUCUUGUAGGCAGACCUCGGACCGUGUUUUUCAAAAGAAAAAUAAGCAAAUAGACAGAAAUACUGGGGGAGUUGCCUACGUUCAGGUGUAGCUCAGUGUCCUCCGGAUCGUCUGGUUUCUGUGAGAUCGUUUUGAUCUGUGAGAGAUGCUCCAAGGCUGAAAUCCAGGGGAUUUGGUCACACUUGGUAUGGAUGUGCUGGAGCACUACAAAAUGCCAGAGACUCGGGAAAUGCCAGCUAUCGCAGUUAAUGAUCAGUGACUUUUACUGGGAGGAGAUAAAGAGACCGAGCUGUCUGUGUGAUGACCGUUCCCUGUCACAGACUCUCUGCUUCAGGUGCAGGUCCCCAAACUUUGCGAUUGUGAUGUGCAGAAGAUAGAAACAAACUGUCACUGAAUUCUCCUUCUCUGCCUGAGCGCAGCCACUGAUCAAUGGUCUUCAGCGGAUGAAAUACCAGUUGGUAGCUUGUGGCCAUGGGGCACAGAUGGCAAAGGAGGCUGUGCCUCAAGUAUCCCUGCUGUCCCUCCCUUCCCGGGUCAUCUUUGUUAAUCUCGAUGUCAGUGCCGUGCUGGUGCUGCUGUUGAAAAGCAGAUACCUGUCUGAUGCUGCUCUGGAGAGGGUCUUGAAAUCCCGAGUAGUUCAUUCAUAAAAGGGAUCCAGAGGGAUUUCUGGGGGAUUCAUACAGAAUGAUCAUCUGGAAGAAAAGAAGCAGUCAUUAGCAGAUUGAAAAAGUAAUUCUUUCUUUCUAAUGCAGCUGUUAAUAGGUUUCAAGUUGACUGCUUCAGUUGCUAUAGAUUUUUAUCGGUGCUCUCUUCAUGGCACCUAUUGAUUUCUGUCUGUGUGGUGAUACUGAGCUCUGGGGUGCACUCACUGAUCUCAAUCCUGACUGUGUUUUCACGGUUUUAAAUGAAGUUUUUAAUUAUUAGCUGAGAGAUUUCUGUGGUGCUGCCUUGUCCUUGUGUGGGCUGUACAUGUUACAAGGCUCCAGUCUGACUAACUGCUGCUUUUUAGGCUCCUUUGUGCAUCCCUGACUGUGGAAUUUGAAUGUAGCGUUGGUGUAGUCUGUUUUGGGGGAAUUUGACUGUAAUGUGCACAUAAUUGCCAGUUUUAUGACGUGUAUAUAUAUUUUUUUAUAUACUCAUGCCUGUGUCUGAAGCUGGAACAGCUCAAGUGAUGUUGUGGUAAUGAGCAGGACUUGCACAUUUCUUGGUUUCCUCUGUGCACUGAGGGUGUUUCUGUUGGCAGGGACCAGCCAGCACCUCACAGGGUGAUGUUUUCUUUCCAGUAUAAGAAUUUUAAUCGAUGUUUCAACCUAAAGUAAGACAGAGAGGCACCUCUUUGAAGGGAAAUGUGCUCCAUGGGAAUGAGUUGGUUUUAUGGGUCUUAAACUGUUGGUGAGACCGGCUUUGCUUGGAGGGCCAGAGGAGCCUUUCCUGUGCUGAAUUUGAAAUAACUCACUCCAGGAAUGGAAAAUCCACAUCAGAGGAGGCUGCUACUGAGAGAUGGAACAGAGACAAGGCUGUUUGCAGCAAAGGGACUGAACUGGGUAACAUCAACCCUGGAAGGGCUCUCUCUCCUGCUCAGUCAGCUUUGUACUGUCAGUGAAGCCCGGCAAAGUGUUAAUUUGGGGUUUAAAGGCUAAUUUGGCUGAGUAGAAGCAAACCAGAAAUAAGUAUCAAAUCUCCUCCUUCCUGCCCUGUUUCUGCAAGCUGGAGAAGCUUUUGUGAGACUGGAAAGCAUCGUCUCCCACUGAAGGGAAAAGGGUUGGGACUGCUUCACACCUCACACCCUGGGGCUGUGAGUCUUGGAAGGUGCCCAAAUUUUGUGGUCUGUUAUUGGCAAAGUCCUGCUUUGUUAUGUGGUAUAAUCUGCCACAGUAUAUAAAAUGUUGCCCCAAGGAACUGUUCUCCAUAAUGUUUAUGUUCAGUAGGGUGUAUCACUGAGGAAAAAAUACUGUGUGAAGCUCAUGUCUAAGCAAAGGCAUUUUAUGAGUGUGUUUCAAGGGAUUUCUAGUGAAGUGUGUGUUGUCUGGCCUUUCAUUUGAAUUUCAGCCCACAAUAUGAUGGUUACAGCACCAGUUUCCUGCUGUUUGCAAGUCUUACAUGGGAAGUUGCCCCUUCUCUUUAAUCUUUCUCAAUGUGGGUGUUGCACUGCUGAGUUGUGGGCCGGGCAGUGGCACCUGGGCAUUGAAGAUGAGGUGAGGACACCCAGUGUGGGAAUAUGCAUGUGGAGCUCCUGUCCAGGAGCCUACAAUGGAAGCGAACAGUGUUCCUUAGUGUUGGAGGCUCUGGACAUAAAUGACAGAAGCAAAUGCCCCAAGUGUUGCAGGAGCAGGGACUGUCCAGGCUAUUCAAAUCCUCCAAGAGGCAAAAGGAGGAGAGGCCUAAGAGUCAUUAGACUCUUGCUUCGGGAAGAAAAGGAUACAAGGAGGGAAGAAGCUGAAUGGCACAAGUCCAGUCUGUGAUUUUCUCCAUAGGAUUUCGGUAUUUUGUUGGUUUUUGGGUAAGACAUUGCCCAGCCUUCCUGCAGCACCAGAAUCCCUUUCUUCCUGGAGGCAGCUGGACUGCCAGGUUUAUUGAUCUCCCGUGGAAGGGAGCCAGCUGUUUGAAUUCUUCUCAGUUUUACAAGUGUGCAUUUGUUGCCAGCAACUGCACCGGGUCUUGACUACGGACUUUGUCCAAGAGAAUUGUGUUUGUUCAUCCCCCAUCCCCUUGCAAGCUCCAGGAGUGUGGAUGAGGAAAACUGGAGGCUGGAAGCAAAGUGCCAGCACUACAGAUGGUGGGCUGAGCUCUCCCCUGUGCCACUGCCAGUGCUGUGGGCUGUGGAAAAUGCCACAUCAAACCUCUGGUGUCCAGACACUCCUCAGAGCCAGGCACUUCAUCUUGGUGAUUUUGUGAUGUUUCCAUGUCUCCAGGCUCUCCCCCCUCCCUUGUUUUGAUGGCUGCGUGGGUGGUUUUCCUUCCUCGCCUCCUGCUGCGGCUGCAGACAAGGCAAGGAGAAGAGAUGAUCUCCAGAGUGCCUUGUUACACAGACUUGCUGCUCUUUAGGGCUGGUUUUAGAGAGGAAAGGAAAUUUUAGUUUAUGUUUUCAUUCACACAGUUAAAGAUGUGGGGGGUUCAUGUUUUUCUUGUAUUGUUUUCUUGCUUGGGAAAGGGUUUAGGUCUUCUCCCCACCCACCAGGAAGUGAAGAGGAAAGUGGCCUGUGGUCAGGGGAGUGAACACUUGCUCACAAUUACUCUCCUCUUUUCCCUCAUAACCCAGUAAGGCAAUGGUGGACUUGCUGGUGCUGCUGGGGAUAUACAGCCAGUGGCAAGAGCUUCCUACAGCAUUCCAGGGGAGAACAGCUCUGGAGAAGAGCAGCUGGAAACAAGCAGUAUGUAACCACCAGCUCUUGUCCCUGCUCAGCGACUCAGGGCUUUGGGAGGGCUGGCGAAGCCGCUUCGUCCUGCUGAAGUGUGAAUGCCAGGGAAGUAAUACAUGGAGAGACGGAGACUGUAUGAAAAAAAUUCUGUCUUGCAUUGAAAUCCCUCAAGGGCCGUUUCCCUCAGCUUAUCACAAUAAAUGCACACCUUGCCACCCUAAGGUAGAAUGAGCAGAGUCUGUGUGGUUCCUGUUUGUGUCGCUUGUCUGCUGUGAGGUUUCACGGAAUCAGAGAAGCGCUCGGGUCGGAACAGACCUCGGAGGUGCUGGGCUGUGGCAGGAGGUGGCUCUGAGGGCAUCUCAGGGUGUCUCUGUGCCCGCAGCUGUGCCCAGUGUGCAUCACAAGUGUCUCUGCUCUGCUGCCACGUUCCCCGUGGCUGUCCCGGCCGGAUGUGUGUGCUCACGGCGGUCACAGCUCGUGAACUUCCUUCGGCUGCCUGGCAGGGCAGCUCCUGUGGGGAGAGAACACCGAGAGGAAUCUUUGGUAAACAGUCUUGUAAUGGGAUGCAAGUUUAGGUAAACCCACAUAUUGUGGGGAAAAUAAGCUGCAUCUGUAGUUCUAAAAACAGUCUCUCCCUGUUUGUUUUGGUGAUACUCAGCUCAUGCCGGUAAUAAACCGGGGGUGAAGACUUGACUUGUUAGGCUUGGUAUUGAUUUUAAGCCCCUCUGUUGUGGAAACAUAAUAUGUGAGAAGGACUUUUCUGGAUGCCCAGUGUUCACCAAACUGGAUUUCUCUCAAUCAAAUGGUAGGAAUUGUUCUCAUAGAACUCUCAGGGUGGAAGACAAAAUUCAUAACACGGGUUGAGCUCGGAUGUGUUCCAUCUGCCUCCUGGGUUGUUUUUUGCUAAAAUCAUUGUUCCAAACUCUAGAUAAGUCAAAUAUUUUUCUUGAAAUAUUGCAUUCAAAUUUUUAAUGGAGCCAGAGAUUAAAUUGGCUGCAGUUGUUGCAAUAGUUUCAAUAUAUCAAAAUAGAAAACACUCUACUGUGCUUAAAUAAAACCAGUUUUCUGACAGCAGGAGAAAGAUGGAAAAUUACACUUCCACAGUUAAGGCUAGGAAAGGCUUUUGGCUGAGAAUUUCUAUACAUUGUAUAUGCAGGUUGGGCAGUGUUUAUUCUGAGGUGGUGCAUCAGGAUUAUGUCUCUGCUUGAGGAGAAAAGGCAGAUUUUGGGGAGAAGGUGGAUGUUGUCAGCCUGGGCUGGCUUUCCUUGAACUCUGAUCUGCAGCAUGUUCUGAGACAUCAUCCACAAAGUGUCAUGUCAGGGCUGAGCACUUGGGGGCUUGAAAUAAAUAUUUAUAAAGUUGAGCAAGGAACUUUGCUUGUCCUGAGGCAAUAAAGUUACACUCAGAAAAUUCCUACAGAAGUCAGUGAAUUGGCAUGUGUGUAACGAGCAGAGGGUGCCAAAACUAAGAGUCUCUACAAGGUUAUUCUUACUCCUCCCAGAAAAGAAGGAACUGGGGAGACAGGAGACAAAUGGAGCUACACAAACAUUGAUAGAAUUCAGCUGUUCAAGCUCAAAACAGAACUAAAAUUUUCCCCUGUAUGUUCAAAAAGAAGGACUAAGGAUGUGUUGUUGCUGUAGCCAAGGGAGGUGAGCUCUGCCUUAUGUCCCCUUUGUGCUCCCCAACCCUGGAACUGCUGAUCUCAGUUCCUGGCACUGAUCAGGAAAACCUGAACCAAAUCCCCAGCUCAUAUCAAUAUUCUGCUAUUCAGGAAUGUUUCUGCUCAAACGUGAACAUUUGGUGUUAAUGCCAUUUGUUUAACCUCAGCUGUAUUCAGGGGAGACCUUUGGUUUAUGAUUAAAUUUAAAGUGCUUUUGUUUGGUCAGAUAUUUAAUCAAGCCUGAAAGAGUUUUAAUUGUAAUAUUUAUCUACUGUUAUUUGUCCCAGAAAAAAAAGCCUCAGUCCAGGAGCACGUCCUUCCCAGGGCAGCACCUCCAGCUCACUGUUUUUGACAUUCAGGAGGCAGGAGGGUGACUGAGCCUGAAGGCACCAGAAGACAGUGUGAAGGGUCAGCAUCCAACUGGCCUGACUGAGUUAGUGCUGUCCGGAUACAGCUCAGGUUGUCUUUACAUCCUGACUUACAACUCCUUCCUGGACUUAUUUCCCCUGUGAGACGUGAUGGGAUGAUUUAUUUCUUUAAUUAAGUCUCUGCAGUGCAGCUUUACUGGGGCUGUUUCUGUGCACGGAUCAGCCUCUCUGGAAGUUCUAAAGGCGCUGGGGUGUGAAAUGGUGACUGGUACCUGUUGUUUGAUUGCUGGGGGGUUGGAGUGAGGAGAGGAACCAGAGGCAGCUGUGCUUAACCAAGGAUCUCAGGGAAAUGUGGGAGCUGUGAGCUGCCUUCCAGGACAAAUGGAUGUUAUUCUUUUCUAGGCUUUUUCCCAGAGGAUGCUUGGACAGAGACAGAGCAGGGAGGAGAAUCAAUGCACUGUCAGAGGAGAAAGCUGAGCCUCACACCUGAGCUGCCUGCAGCAUAGGAGUGAGGGUGAUCCCUUAAGAGUGAAUCCCUGGACUUCUAGAAAGUUUCAGACAAGCUUUGGCCAGGGAUUUAAUGGAGAAACUCCCUGCCCGAGGACGUGGUGUGGAGCAGACUGUGCACAGGCUGGAGAAGCAGUGAGACAAAUUAAGAGGAAAGUCUAUUAAGGGCUAUUAAACAUAAUUACUACA